UACGUAGGGUGCGAGCGUUACUCGGAAUUACUGGGCGUAAAGCGUGCGCAGGCGGUUUUGUAAGCCAGAUGUGAAAUCCCCGGGCUUAACCUGGGAAUGGCAUUUGGGACUGCAAGGCUCGAGUGCGGCAGAGGAGACUGGAAUUCCUGGUGUAGCAGUGAAAUGCGUAGAUAUCAGGAGGAACACCGGUGGCGAAGGCGGGUCUCUGGGCCGUAACUGACGCUGAGGAGCGAAAGCAUGGGGAGCGAACAGG
rnacentral:rRNA from 1 species